AACGUAGGACACGAGCGUUAUCCGGAAUUACUGGGCGUAAAGCGCGUGUAGGCGGAAGGUCAAGUCAGGCAUGAAAGCUCCUGGCUAAACUGGGAGAGGUUGUCUGAGACUGACAUUCUGGAGUACGGUAGAGGGGUGUGGAAUUCCGGGUGUAGUGGUGAAAUGCGUAGAUAUCCGGAGGAACACCAGUGGCGAAGGCGGCACCCUGGACCGCAACUGACGCUGAGACGCGAAAGCGUGGGGAGCGAAC
rnacentral:rRNA from 1 species